GUCAGCACCCCGCUCUGAAGAGACGGGGCUUCAUGCCUCUCCUUUGGAUAGCUGACCAGCCUUAGCCUUAAAUGACUACGUUAUCGGGAAGCGUUAAAGUUCUUACCUUGGGAUGCGAAGCUAGUCCCAAGCUCUAAA
rnacentral:sRNA from 1 species